rnacentral:lncRNA from 1 species
GGAUACAGAGGCCCAGAGAGAUGCUCCAGGCUUAGCUACUGGAGUUCCAAACUCAAAGGGCAGCUGGGUUCUACUCUUCUGCGUAUCCUGUUAGUGUUUUAAAUUGGGUUCCCAGCAUUUAUCUCUACUGGAAAUUACCCUGUUUACUUCCGGUCUCCUCAGGAGGCUUGGGACCUUAUAUGUCUUGUCCUCCCUUGUCCCCCCCAACACCUAAAAUGGUGCUUACCUCAGGGUUGUCCUCAGAAAAGCUUUGUGGGAUGCUUGAGUGACCUCUGAGCACAGCACCUCCUCCAUGUGUCCCCAGUACUGGGCAGAGUCCUCCGUUGCUGUGCUGGCCUCCUGCCUGGUUCUCUUACCAGUAUUUCCACCUCUUGACCCCCGGACUCUCUGCUCCUCCAGCCUUUCACAGCGUCUUUCCAGUUUGGACAGGCAUGCACCUUGUCUUUGGGCAACUGAAUGGCUACCAGUAGGACACCAAUCAGGUGGCGAAACCACUGAGCUAAAUCCCCAGCCAUCAUUGCUGUUUUCUGAUCUACCUUUUGUGCUCUACUGCUCUGUCCUAAGAAGACCUUUGCCCAGGUCCCCAAGCCUCUGAAAACCAGAAUGAUGAAAUUGGAGCAGCCAUUUGCUGGUAAACUCAAUGUGAAUUGGAUGCAAGAGAUAGCCACGAAGGGUGAGAGGAGACAGCACGUAUUGGUCACAGCAUGAGUUUUGGGGUCAGCCAGCAGACACCUCCAUCCUGAAUUUUUGGUCACACCGAUUUCUUCAGUGUUUCCAAACAUCUUGGACAUUUCUACCUCUGGGCCUUCACUUACCAGAAUUCCUGGCG